rnacentral:tmRNA from 1 species
GGAAUAUUCAUCUGACAUGUUGCAGGCCGCAGUUAACCGAACGGCUGCGUUAAAAAUCGGUUAUACAAAAUAACUGCUGAAUAUACACCAGUAGUUGCUCACUGUUAAGUGAGCCGCUCUCCCAACCUACUUUCUGCGAGGUUGGGGUAGAGUGUUAUAAAGCGGAAUAGCUUUUAGUAGUGUCGCGAUAUUAAAAGCGAAAUUUAGCGGCUGGUCCUGAACCGAUUUUGUCGAUGGAAGCGGUUUAGGACGAAAUAAAACAUCGACUAUGUCUGUAGUAACGGUCAGGUAGUGUUUU